GUUUGAUUAUGGCUCAGAUUGAACGCUGGCGGGAUGCUUUGACACAUGCAAGUCGAACGGCAGCACGGACUUCGGUCUGGUGGCGAGUGCAGAACGGGUGAGUAAUGAACGUGCCUAGUAGGGGGAUAACUACGCGAAAGCGUAGCUAAUACUGCAUACGCCCUUCGGGGAAAGCGGGGGACCUUCGGGCUCGCACUAUUAGAGCGGCUGAUAAUGGGAUUAGCUAGUUGGUGGGUAACGGCUCACCAUGACGAUCCGUAGCUGGUUUGAGAGGACGACCAGCCACACUGGGACUGAGACACGGCCCAGACUCCGGAGGCAGCAGGGAAUUUUGGACAAUGGGAACUGAUCCAGCCAUCCCGCGUGUGCGAUGAAGGCCUUCGGGUUGUAAAAGCACUUUGGCAGGAAAGAAACGGCACGUGGAUAAUACCCUGCAGUGCAACUGACGGUGCCUGCAGAAUACAAUCGGCUAACUACGUGCCAGCAGCCGCGGUAAUACGUAGGUGCAAGCGUUAAUCGGAAUUACUGGGCGUGAAGCGUGCGCAGGCGGUUCGGAAAGAAAGAUGAAAUCCAGAGCUUAACUUUGAACUGCAUUUUUAACUACCGGGACAGAGUGUGCCAGAGGGAGGUGGAAUUCCGCGUGUAGCAGUGAAUGCGUAGAUAUGCGGAGGAACACCGAUGGCGAAGGCAGCCUCCUGGGAUAACACUGACGCUCAUGCACGAAAGCGUGGGGAGCAAACAGGAUUAGAUACCCCAGAACCACGCCCUAAACGAUGUCAACUAGCUGUUGGGGCCUUUCGGGCCUUGGUAGCGCAGCUAACGCGUGAAGUUGACCGCCCGGGGAGUACGGCUGCAAGAUUAAAACUCAAAGGAAUUGACGGGGACCCGCACAAGCGGUGGAUGAUGUGGACUUGUUCGACGCAACGCGAAAACCUCACCUACCCUUGACAUGUCUGGAAUCCCGAAGAGAUUUGGGAGCAAGCCUCGCAAGAGAACCGAACACAGGUGCUGCAUGGCUGUCGUCAGCUCGUGUCGAGAUGUUGGGUUAAGUCCCGCAACGAGCGCAACCCUGUCAUUAGUUGCUACGAAUUUAAUGGAGACUGCCGGUGACAAACCGGAGGAAGGUGGGGAUGACGUCAAGUCCUCAUGGUCUUUGCGGUAGGGCUUCACACGUCAUACAAUGGUCGGAGCAGAGGGUCGCCAACCCGCGAGGGGGAGCCAAUCCCAGAAACCCGAUCGUAGUCCGAUCGCAGUCUGCAACCUGACUGCGUGAAGUCGGAAUCGCUAGUAAUCGCGGAUCAGCAUGUCGCGGUGAAUACGUUCCCGGGUCUUGGGUGCACACCGCCUGUCACACCAUGGGAGUGGGUUUUACCAGAAGUAGUUAGCCUAACCGUAAGGGAGGGCGAUUACCAUGGUAGGAUUCUGAUGACUGGGGUGAAGUCGUAACAAGGUAG
rnacentral:rRNA from 1 species